rnacentral:rRNA from 1 species
AACGAACGCUGGCGGCGUGCCUAACACAUGCAAGUCGAGCGAGAAAGCUCCUUCGGGAGUGAGUAAAGCGGCGCACGGGUGAGUAACACGUAGGUAACCUACCCUCGAGCCUGGGAUAACCUACCGAAAGGUGGGCUAAUACCGGAUAUGACCACGGGGAGCCACGGCUCCUGCGGUAGAAAGAUGGCCUAAGCUUGCAAGCUAUCACUUGAGGAGUGGGCCUGCGCCACCAUAGCUAGUUGGGCGGGGUAAUGGCCCACCAAGGCUAUGAUGGUUAGCUGGUCUGAGAGGAUGGCCAGCCACAC